rnacentral:rRNA from 1 species
AGUCAAUAGAUACCCCGGUAGUCCACGCCGUAAACGAUGAGUACUAGGUGUAGGAGGUAUCGACUCCUUCUGUGCCGCAGUUAAACACAAUAAGUACUCCGCCUGGGAAGUACGGUCGCAAGAUUAAAACUCAAAGGAAUUGACGGGGGCCCGCACAAGCAGCGGAGCAUGUGGUUUAAUUCGAAGCAACGCGAAGAACCUUACCUAGACUUGACAUCUCCUGAAUAGCGCAGAGAUGCGUGAAGCCCUUCGGGGCGGGAAGACAGGUGGUGCAUGGUUGUCGUCAGCUCGUGUCGUGAGAUGUCGGGUUAAGUCCCGCAACGAGCGCAACCCCUAUUAUUAGUUGCUACCAUUAAGUUGAGCACUCUAAUGAGACUGCCCGGGUUAACCGGGAGGAAGGCGGGGAUGACGUCAAAUCAUCAUGCCCCUUAUGUCUAGGGCUACACACGUGCUACAAUGGUGAGAACAACGAGAUGCAAUACCGCGAGGUGGAGCAAAACUUGAAAACUCAUCUCAGUUCGGAUUGUAGGCU